rnacentral:rRNA from 1 species
UACGUAGGGGGCAAGCGUUGUCCGGAAUCAUUGGGCGUAAAGAGCGCGUAGGCGGCCCUGUAAGUCCGCUGUGAAAGUCAAGGGCUCAACCCUUGAAUGCCGGUGGAUACUGCAGGGCUAGAGUCCGGAAGAGGCGAGUGGAAUUCCUGGUGUAGCGGUGAAAUGCGCAGAUAUCAGGAGGAACACCAGUGGCGAAGGCGGCGAUCUGGGUCGAUACUGACGCUGAGGUGCGAAAGCGUGGGGAGCAAACAGG